AAAAAAAAAAAUGCCAAUAUUGCGAUACAGAGAAAGGGAAAAAGGGAAAAAUCCUACCCUCCUCACAUCAGUCUUCUUAACUUUUUUCUCUCUAAAAAAAACCCUAGCCGUACUACGAUAGAGGCGAUCUCUUCACAUCAAACUCCGCUAGGAGGAAAAAAAAAAAAAUUACUUGCGCCACACUGGAGAUUCGAUUGAUCAUCGCUAUCCCCUUUUGAGUUUUCCAGAUUUACGCGGUUCUCUACCAGAUACGAUGGUUUAGUAUUUUGCAAGAAGAGAUACCGAAUCAUAUUGAAAGGUUUAGUGUUAGUGUACAUAGCCAAUCAAAAAAUAGAAAUAGGAGAAACAUCUGUUCAAAGACCUGAAAGAAUGCCGCUCCAAAUGCUUCAAAAACGUCAAAAAAGUACUAAGCAAAUUGCUACAAAGAAGAAAAAAAAAUGAACUCUAUUGUAUAUACUACCUUACUCUACAAGUCUUUAUGUAUUUCAUAGUAUUGUUAAUUAUUAUAUUUUUUCCUUUAGAAGAGUAAACUCAAUGUACUGAAUAAAGCUGACAGAUUAGAACAGCAUUACUAUAAAAUGUAAUUAUAUUUCACAAUUUGGUAUAUUAGACACUGUGAUGGUCCCAAAAUGGUUGAUUUCAAAGUGUAUAAGCUGAAUGAAGAAUGUAGACAACAGGAUUUGCUUUAUUAAAAUAAAUAGAUUUUCCCCUAUUGUUCUGUUA